AUGGCUCAGGACGAACGCUGGCGGCAUGCCUAACACAUGCAAGUCGAACGGAGUAAUGACUUCGGUUAUUACUUAGUGGCGAACGGGUGAGUAACACGUGAAUAAUCUGCCCUGUACGAUGGGAUAACAGCUGGAAACGGCUGCUAAUACCGUAUAUGACCACGCCGAGGCAUCUCGGAGGGGUGAAAGCGCUUAAGCGGUACAGGAUGAGUUCGCGUCCAAUUAGCUAGUUGGUGAGGUAACGGCCCACCAAGGCGACGAUUGGUAGCCGACCUGAGAGGGUGAUCGGCCACACUGGAACUGAGACACGGUCCAGACUCCUACGGGAGGCAGCAGUGGGGAAUAUUGGGCAAUGGAGGAAACUCUUACCCAAGCAAUGCCGCGUGAGUGAUGAAGGUCUUCGGAUUGUAAAGCUCUUUGAUUGGGGACGAAUAAAUGACGGUACCCAAGGAACAAGCCCCGGCUAACUAUGUGCCAGCCGCCGC
rnacentral:rRNA from 1 species